rnacentral:rRNA from 1 species
CAAGGGCAACCGGCGAACGGGUGCGGAACACGUGAGCGACCUGCCCAGCUGCGGGGGAUAGCCGGCCCAACGGCCGGGUAAUACCGCAUACGACGCCCGCUUGGAAGCGGGGCGUGAAACCGACUGAGGGCGGUUGGAGGGGCUCGCGGCCUAUCAGCUAGUUGGGGGGGUAACGGCCUCCCAAGGCGAUGACGGGUAGCUGGUCUGAGAGGAUGGCCAGCCACAUUGGGACUGAGAGACGGCCCAGACUCCUACGGGAGGCAGCAGUGGGGAAUCUUGCGCAAUGGGCGGAAGCCUGACGCAGCGACGCCGCGUGGGGGAUGAAGGCCUUCGGGUCGUAAACCCCUGUUGCCCGGGACGAACGAGCGGUUUCGACCGCUGUGACGGUACCGGGUGAGGAAGCACCGGCUAACUCUGUGCCAGCAGCCGCGGUAAUACAGAGGGUGCGAGCGUUGUCCGGAAUCACUGGGCGUAAAGGGCGCGUAGGUGGCACGCCACGCGUGCGGUGAAAGCCCGGGGCUCAACCCCGGGUCGGCCGUGCGAACGGGCGAGCUCGAGCGCACCAGAGGCAGGCGGAAUUCCGGGUGUAGCGGUGGAAUGCGUAGAGAUCCGGAAGAACACCGGUGGCGAAGGCGGCCUGCUGGGGUGUGGCUGACACUGAGGCGCGACAGCGUGGGGAGCAAACAGGAUUAGAUACCCUGGUAGUCCACGCCGUAAACGAUGGGCACUAGGUGCCCGGGGGAGCGACCCCCUGGGUGCCGGCGCUAACGCAUUAAGUGCCCCGCCUGGGGAGUACGGCCGCAAGGCUGAAACUCAAAGGAAUUGACGG